rnacentral:rRNA from 1 species
UACGUAGGGGGCAAGCGUUUGUCCGGAAUCAUUGGGCGUAAAGCGCGUGUAGGCGGCUCGGUAAGUCUGCUGUGAAAGUCCAGGGCUCAACCCUGGGAUGCCGGUGGAUACUGUCGAGCUCGAGUCCGGAAGAGGCGAGUGGAAUUCCUGGUGUAGCGGUGAAAUGCGCAGAUAUCAGGAGGAACACCAGUAGCGGAAGGCAGCUCGCUGGGACGUGACUGACGCUGAGACGCGAAAGCGUGGGGAGCAAACAGG